rnacentral:rRNA from 1 species
AGUGAACGCUGGCGGUAGGCCUAACACAUGCAAGUCGAACGGCAGCACAGUAAGAGCUUGCUCUUACGGGUGGCGAGUGGCGGACGGGUGAGGAAUACAUCGGAAUCUACUUUUUCGUGGGGGAUAACGUAGGGAAACUUACGCUAAUACCGCAUAGGACCUACGGGUGAAAGCGGGGGAUCUUCGGACCUUGCGCGAUUGAAUGAGCCGAUGUCGGAUUAGCUAGUUGGCGGGGUAAAGGCCCACCAAGGUGACGAUCCGUAGCUGGUCUGAGAGGAUGAUCAGCCACACUGGAACUGAGACACGGUCCAGACUCCUACGGGAGGCAGCAGUGGGGAAUAUUGGACAAUGGGCGCAAGCCUGAUCCAGCCAUACCGCGUGGGUGAAGAAGGCCUUCGGGUUGUAAAGCCCUUUUGUUGGGAAAGAAAAGCAGCAGGUUAAUACCCCGCUGUUCUGACGGUACCCAAAGAAUAAGCACCGGCUAACUUCGUG